GACGAACGCUGGCGGCGUGCUUAACACAUGCAAGUCGAACGGAAAGGCCCUGCUUUUGUGGGGUGCUCGAGUGGCGAACGGGUGAGUAACACGUGAGUAACCUGCCCUUGACUUUGGGAUAACUGCAGGAAACUGGGGCUAAUACCGGAUAGGAGAUCCUGCAGCAGGGGGGGGGUUGGAAAGUUUCGGCGGUGGUGGCUGGACGCGCGGCUUAUCAGCUGGUUGGGUGGGUAGUGGCUUACCAAGUCUUUGACUGGUCGCCGGCCUGGGAGCGUGACCGCCGUCCUUGCUCCUGCGGUACGGCGCAGACUCCUACGGGGGGCAGCGGUGGAGAAUAUUGCACAGUGGGCCGGCGUCUGUUGCGGCAGCCUUGCGUGCGUAAAGACGGCCUUCGGGUUGUAAACCGCUUUCGCCUGUGACGAAGCUUGAGUGACGUUACUGGGUAAAGAAGCACCGGCUAACUACGUG
rnacentral:rRNA from 1 species